UCUCUGUAGGUGAACCUGCAGAGGGAUCAUUACCGAGCGAGGGCCCCCGGGCCCGACCUCCAACCCCGUAACUACCUUACCAUCCGUUGCCUCGGCGGGCCGUCGACCCCCUCGCGGGCGUCGCCGUCGGCCCCCGCGCCCUCGAGCGCCCGCCGCAGGACCAACCGCAAACCCCUCGCGAACCCAGCGGACUGAAACGAAAUUAAAUACUUCAAAACUUUCAACGACGGAUCUCUUGGUUCUGGCAUCGAUGAAGAACGCAGC
rnacentral:misc_RNA from 1 species